rnacentral:rRNA from 1 species
AGUGAACGCUGGCGGUAGGCCUAACACAUGCAAGUCGAACGGCAGCACAGUAAGAGCUUGCUCUUACGGGUGGCGAGUGGCGGACGGGUGAGGAAUACAUCGGAAUCUACUUUUUCGUGGGGGAUAACGUAGGGAAACUUACGCUAAUACCGCAUACGACCUACGGGUGAAAGCAGGGGAUCUUCGGACCUUGCGCGACUGAAUGAGCCGAUGUCGGAUUAGCUAGUUGGCGGGGUAAAGGCCCACCAAGGCGACGAUCCGUAGCUGGUCUGAGAGGAUGAUCAGCCACACUGGAACUGAGACACGGUCCAGACUCCUACGGGAGGCAGCAGUGGGGAAUAUUGGACAAUGGGCGCAAGCCUGAUCCAGCCAUACCGCGUGGGUGAAGAAGGCCUUCGGGUUGUAAAGCCCUUUUGUUGGGAAAGAAAAGCAGCAGGUUAAUACCUCGCUGUUCUGACGGUACCCAAAGAAUAAGCACCGGCUAACUUCGUG